rnacentral:tRNA from 1 species
GGAGAGGUAUCGAAGCGGUCAUAACGAGGCGGUCUUGAAAACCGUUUGCCUUCACGGGCGCGUGGGUUCGAAUCCCACCCUCUCCG